rnacentral:rRNA from 1 species
UACGUAGGGUGCAAGCGUUAAUCGGAAUUACUGGGCGUAAAGCGUGCGCAGGCGGUUUUAUAAGUUUGUCGUGAAAGCCCCGGGCUCAACCUGGGAAUGGCGAUGAAGACUGUAAGGCUAGAGUGUGUCAGAGGGGGGUAGAAUUCCACGUGUAGCAGUGAAAUGCGUAGAGAUGUGGAGGAACACCGAUGGCGAAGGCAGCCCCCUGGGAUAACACUGACGCUCAUGCACGAAAGCGUGGGGAGCAAACAGG